rnacentral:rRNA from 2 species
ACAAGCCUGAGAAACGGCUAGUAGGACUAAGGUCUGCAGCAGGCGCGAAACUUACACAAUGCUAGAUUAAGACAUAGCGAUGUAGUGAAGAAAAAUAACGAUGUACUUACAUUUAAACAUGUUAGUACAAUUGGAAUGAGACGACUCUAAACCAGUCAGUCGAGUAACAAAUGGAGGGCAAGUCUGGUGCCAGCAGCCGCGGUAAUUCCAGCUCCAUUAGCAUACAUUAAAGUUGUUGCGGUUAAAAAGCUCGUAGUUGAAUUUUGGGCGGGCUCUAUUGGGAUGCAAUCGUUAAGGCCUCUAUCGUUGGUUAGCCCAUGUUAGUUGGCUGGUUGUAUUUUCCCUAUAGGAACCCGUUGUUUCGUCACUUAAUCGAGUGCGAAGCGGGCUGGUACUUUAAUAGACUUCGGUUUAUAAGUAACAGCAUGUUUACCUUGAGAAAAUUAGAGUGCUCACAGCAGGCAGUUGGGGUGUAAAAGCUCCUUUAUGCUUGAAUAAUGUUGCAUGGAAUAAUAGAAUACGGCCUCGGUUCUAUUCUGUUGGUCUUAUAGAACAACAAAAAAGUUGAUUAAAGCGAUCAAAAGUCCUUUUUGAGUGUGGCUUUGUACUGUUUAAGUGUACCAAAUCAAACAGGUAUCGUUGUCUGGGGCCUCAAAAUCUCAGUACCCUGCCUGUUCUGAACCUUGGUCCUUAUGCUUGCACUGUCAUCCAAAGCACUCAUAAUGUGGCUAGCUUUCUAAUCAACUGAGGCAAUGGUUAAAAGAAAUAGUCGCGGCGGCAUCAGUACUGCAUCGUGAGAG